ensembl:lncRNA
AAACGGCUAUUGAGACCGAUUCCUCCUCUUCAGGCUUCUGUUAAAUACAACUCAUUUUUUCUUUAUUUUUUCCCAUUGUUGCCUGACAAAUUUAAGCACGCUGAAGGUGCAGGUGGUUUCCAAAGGAGCCGGUUUUCCCAGUUCAAACAUUCUCUGUUCCUGUUAGGAGACUUCAGCAGGAACCUUUCCUACUGCUGGUUUUCCUGUCUUGCUAGAAAGUCCAUUGAGGAAAGCAUCUCAAAGGAUGACAACACACCAACCCUCCUUAGAUAUAGGAACAAAGUAUUUAUAUUAGAUAUCGUACAAGAAUAUCCUGUGGUAUGUGACAUAAGACCAACAGGAUUUGAAUUCAGUUGUGACAGAAAUUACGAGCCAUACAGGAAGCAUAGCUCACAGAGACAGUGAAAUGUGAAGGACUGAAAACUGCUCCCAGAAGAGACAUGGAACUGAAAUGCAGAAUCUUUUCAGAAUUCUAAAACAUAACAUAAACCAGCAGCAAAGCCGACAUCAACUCCUAAACAAGGAUUUCAAGACAUAAGGAAGAUAACAACUUUAGAAAAGAAAAGCGAGCCCAGUGACUGUCACAUUAAUUGAACACAGUGUCAGGAAAGAUUGCUUUGUGAAGUGUUGCUUCUUAAAGCAUUACAAAGUCGGAACAUCAAAACCAUUGACUGGCAGCAAAGGGGAAACAGAAACCACAAGUGAUCGAUAAGGCAACUGCUGGCCAGGGCGCUGACAUGCCAGUGCACGAGGUCCUCCAUGGAGCCCCAAGUGGCCACGUACCAGGACUGGGACUGAGCCAUUGAUCAAAAAUAUUUUUCUUAUUGCAAAGGUCUUGAAAGUACACCUUCUGGCAUUUGAAUCCAUUUAAUAAAACGCUGCUAUUAUUUGCGCCUGCUUACCAUGACUGUUAGCAGCCUCUGGAAGCCUUAAAGGCUAAACUCAUUAGCUAUUUAUUACAGAAGAAGUUGGGAUCUCCUGAUACUGCCAAUUAAUUCAGGCAUAUUGUUAGUAGUGGAAAGUGCUGGUAAAUCAUAUUUUUUUUUUUUGCCCGAGCAUUGAUGACCUACUUACUGUGUGUUUCCACUGGAUAUAGGUCUUCUCCAGCAUCAGCACAGGAUCUGAGCACAUUUCCAAGGCUUUGCCUUCCCUCCUGCCCUUCUCUCCUGCCCAUCACUCACCAGGACAGCUCAGGAGCUGGUGAGGCAUCUCAGUACUGUAGGGUCUGAUUCCUGUAACCACCACAGAUGACCCUUUUUAUGCUGUGCCACUGUCCUAGGAGGUGUUCCCACUGCCUAGCAAUGGUUAGCUCACAAGCCUUGCCAGCCGGCUGUGCUUGGUCUUGUGCUGCCCUGGAGCUGCCAUGCCCAUCACCUGCUGCAGAACAAGAGCCCCAACACCGAGCAGUUUUCCUAUAAGGACAACAAUGUAAGUAACACGUGCAAUCAGCACAAAACCACAGGCAGUAUGUGGAGCUGUUGAUGGUUGUUUUAUUUUUUGCAAAACUGGGCACUGACAGCACAAUGUGCCUGUUUCAAUGACAGCUCUUGGCUGUGGUGCAGCAAGUAGGUAUGGCUUCUAAUACACACCAUGGGGAACACUUGCUGCUCUGUCUCUAGGAUUUGGAACAUCUGUCCCUCACUACCGUCCCGAGAUGGGGAUGAAUGCUUUUCCCUUCUCCUCCACAGCGCCCAGUGAGCUGCAGUAGGUGCAGGUGACCCCAGCAAACCAAGUGACAGUGGCUGGGUGGAAGCCCCUGCUCCUGCAGGCAGACAUCUGCUGAUAGCUUGAACCAGGUCUGAGAACGUCACACCCAGAUAUAAAGGCCCAGUUUAGAAUGGAGACAAUCCCCUUUCCAAAAGGGAUUUUGAUGUCACAACAGUCUGGGGGGGACAGUCAUGGAGAGGAAAGGGAAGCGCUGAUAGUCUGAGGCAGAAAGCUCUCUGAUUGUCUGAGACAAUUAAGAGGGGAGAAGCAAUCUCCACUGUCAAGUGACUGAGAGACAGUUCCAGGCUGAGUACUCCUUGGAAAUUUGAGACCUAAUUAAAGCAGGCCUUGGAUCUCAUCAUUCUUCCUGCACGCCAGGGACCAUGAAAUACUGACUUGCGCAUCUGUUCUGUAUGUGUAUUUGAUGCAAAUAAGAAAGAAGUCUGUAAAUACAUCAAAAACCAUACUUUAUUUUAUGUAUAGCAAUACAAUUUACAUAUUAAAUAACACUAU